UUCCGCCGGCGACCGGCGCACGGGUGAGUAACACGUAUGCAACCUGCCCCUGUCAGGGGACAACCCGCCGAAAGGCGGGCUAAACCCGCGUACAUGCCACCGGGGCAUCCCGGAGGCAGGAAAGGCUUCGGCCGGACAGGGAUGGGCAUGCGGCGCAUUAGGCAGUAGGCGGGGUAACGGCCCACCUAACCGACGAUGCGUAGGGGUUCUGAGAGGAAGGUCCCCCACACUGGUACUGAGACACGGACCAGACUCCUACGGAAGGCAGCAG
rnacentral:rRNA from 1 species